CGGGUGGUGCUCCCGGCCGGGUGACCCAGGGAACCUCACUGGACAGGGCGCCCCAGCCCCGGGGCAGGCGACGAGGAAGAGAGCCGCUGAGGAGAGAGUGGAGUGGACAGAGCUGUGGUCUAAGGAAAGAAUGCACGUGAAUUUCUGAGUGGUGACAGAUGUCUCUUUGGCUGCCCAGGGACGUGGGAAGAGCAAGAAGGGAAUGCUGGAGACAAGUCUGGGAAAGAUGAUGUGGAAGUCCUCACAAAUGUGUGCAUCUGUGUGCCUCAUGUUAAUGUCCACUGCAGAGGGGUCACCGAAUGACAAAAUGACUUGUUGCUUUGUCAGCUUCUGUCCUUGGCUACCCUUGUGCUUGGAUGGUGGGCCCAUGAAUGGAACUGCCAUGGUGGCAGCAGUGCUGGUUGUGUCUACUAGCGUGGGCUCUCUCUUAUCAAGACUUGUGUAAUUAUUACUGUGGCUGAAUUUCCGACCCCUGGUGUGGCACCAUCCCUGGAUGAUUCAGUGACAAGUUGGUUUCAGCAGAUCCUUUCCAUCCAGAAGAGGGCAUUGAUUCAUCCUUAAUGGAAGUGACACCUGCUCUGGAUGUGGGUUUGCUUUCCCAUAUCCACAUAUCCACAAUGUCUUAGGGAAGUAUCGCCAUCCAGAACCUUCAAGAAUGUUGGAUUUACCCACAUGGUAUCAUGCAUAAUAUUACUUUGGAUCAAAGAACUCAUUUUACAAUGAAAGAAAGAUGACAACAUUAUGAAUUGCCAUGGGAGCCACUGCUUCUCUAAUAUCCUGAAUUAGCCUCAAGCAGCCCAUCUGUUAGAAAGAUGGAAUGUUCUCUUAGAGACUUAGCAAAGGUCCCAGCUCUGGGACAGUAGCCUGAAGAGUGGGAUAUAUACCUUGAUUUAAAGCCCAGUGUGAGGUGCUGGGCCCCAGCGGAUACAACAUAUGGAUCCAGGAACAGACACAGGCCUAAGAGCCCAGGAUUGGGGAAAUCUCUCACCGUCGCUCUCAGCGAUCCGUUCGUAGAGUAUGUGCAUUCUGUCUCU
rnacentral:lncRNA from 1 species